GGUGGGGAAUAUUUGUAGGGUUCGUCGGCGGCUGCAAUCGGAGGAGGAGAGGUGGGCGGCGGCAUAAAUUGGGGAAGAGGCGGGCAGAGGCGUAAAUCUGAGAAGGAAAGGCAGGCGGCGGCUGCGGCGGGCGGCGAUGGCUUCAUCCUCCGGCGCGGCGUACUGGAGCGUAGGGCGCGGACGAAGGAGGGCAGCGCCUAGGUCGUCGCCGCUGCCUUAUUGGGAGAAUCCCAUGGCUUACGGACCGGCGAAGAAGGGGUACUCGAGAAGAGGGCGGCCACUGGAUUUUUCCUUGUUCUGUACCAUUCUUGCGUCCAUGGAAAAGCAACUUCUUAUUGAUCUUCGAGAAAUGUAGAUGAACUUGAUGAUGGCCGGCAGUCAUGGCAGAGAUAUGUAGCAGAUGUUGCAACAAGACAUCAAUUUGAAGUGAUGAGGGAGAGAUGUGGAGCAACUGUUCGACUGAUUGAGAAAGGAGACGAGUUGAAUACUGAUGCAUGAUGUCUUGUGCUCAACAAUGGAUUAGUUUAAUGACUAGUUGAAUGUUGAUUAGUUUAAUGGCUAGUUGAUUGUCGCUGUUUGCUACAUCUGCAUGAGUAGAGUAGUUUAGUUGCUGCCACAGCAGCCUUUUCAUCUGUCUGGUACCCUUUUGUCUAUCUAGUAAGUACUUUAUUGUUUGUUGCCUUGUUGGCUUGUUGCCAUGGCAGCCCUUUUAUCAGUUAUGCUAAUAUUCCUUUGUGUUUGGUUGUUUGCUGCAGGUAGUAGAAGUGUAGCACCAUGGAUGGAAAUGCAGCAGCUGAUGGGGGUGAGCCCCCCUAUGAUCCAAUGAAAGAUCCAACAAGGAAGCCACAACGGUCAAAUGAUCCGGGAUGGAACUAUGGAUAUUGGUCUGAGCCUCCAAACCGGGAUCUUGUUGUGUGCGCUCUUUGUGGCAAGAUAACUUCCGGAGGGAUCAAGAGGCAUAAGGAGCAUGUUGCGGGCGUCGGGGGUGAUGCAAUUGGUUGUCCUAAGGCCACCACACAACUGAGAAGAGAAAUGAGAGCAUAUUUGGAGCAAAAUAGGAGGAUCAAGGGAGUAGUAGAUGUAGAUGAUGAUCAGGAGGUUGUGGAGGUGAGUUCAGUUGGAGCAAACAUCGCCUCUAAAAGGCCAAGCUCAGGGACAGCAGCCAGACAGAAUAAGAAAGCGUUUAUCAUCAACAUGCAAGGUAAAAAGAAGUCUGUUACUGCUGCCGCCAAUAGUUCCAAGCCAAUUGUUGCCAUGUUACAAAGAACACCUGAGGAUCUUGUAGAUGAAAGGCGCUCUGGGUGUUCUCAAAGCACCAUGGAGUCCAGCACAAAGACUCAUGAAGAGAGGCAUUAUGUCAGUAUGCAGUGGGCGUUGUUCUUUUACGAGUGUGGCAUUCCAUUUAAUGCUGCAAAUAGUAGGCAGUUUGAGGUUGCAAAUGAAGCCUCAUGUCAAUAUGGUUCAGGUUACAAGCCACCUAGUGCACAUGAGCUGAGAGAGCCAUUGCUUAAUGAUUGUGUGAAGGAAACAUGACUUUUGAGGGGGCAACACGAGGCAGCAUGGAAAAAAUAUGGAUGCACACUCAUGUCGGAUGGCUGGUCGGAUAAAAGAGGACGCCAUUUGAUUAACUUCCUUGUUAAUAGUCCAGAGGGCACUUUCUUCUUGGAGUCGGUUGAUGCCUCAAGUGUAUGUCAUGACGGUGAUAUGAUAGCUGAUUUGCUUGAGAAGAGAAUUCUGGAUGUUGGAAAAGAGAAUGUGGUACAGGUUAUCACGGAUAAUGGUGCUAAUUACAAGAAAGCUGGCCACCUUCUAAUGGAGAGGAUGCCUACUCUAUAUUGGAGCCCGUGUGCAUGUCAUUGCUUGGACCUAAUGUUGGAAGAUAUAGGAAAGUUGAAGGCAUUUAAGAAGCCUAUUGCAGGGGCUAGACGUGUCACAACUUUCAUCUAUAGACAUGGAAGACUUCUUAGUCUAAUGAGGAAGGCCACGGGUGGGGAUCUUGUGAGACCAGCAGCAACUCAUUUUGCCACAGCCAUCCUCACACUUAGGAGUUUGGUCAAGAACAAGGCUGCAUUGAGGAGUUUAUUUACAUCUGAUGAAUGGGUUGGAAACAAGUUAGCAAAAACACAAGUUGGCUUGAAUGUGCAAGAGAUUAUACUUUCAACGGAGUGGUGGAGCGCAAUUGAGGACUGCCUUAGAGCUUCAACUCCACUUCUUAGAGUUCUUAGAGUAGCGGAUGGUGAUGAGAAGCCUACCAUGCCAGAGAUUAAAGCACUUAUGAUUUAUGCAAAGGAGAGGAUCAAUCUAGGUUUCCCUCAACAAAACAAGCAACCAUUGCUCAAGAAGAUCUUGGCCAUUGUUAACAAGCGUUGGGAGAAUCAAAUGGAUCAUCCAUUGUAUGGGGCUGCUCUAUUUUUGAACCCAGGAAAGUUCUUUCCUAUUGUAAGCAGAAAUGAUGAUGCCUUAGUUGGGGAGCUUAGGAGCUGCUUUAAUGAUGUGCUUGCAAAAAUGGUAUCGGAUGCCAAUGUUCGAAAAAAGAUUUAUCAACAAUCUGUGCUCUAUGAGGGCCAACGAGAAGGCUUUUCUAAUCCAUUGGCACUCGAGACCAUGAGCACAAGAAACCCUCUUGAUUGGUGGAGUUCAUUUGGUGGUCGGGCCAUUGACCUACAAAGGUUUGCAAAGCGCAUUGUUAGUCUUUGUGCUUCAUCAUCUGGUUGUGAGAGGAAUUGGAGCACGUUUCAAUUUAUCCAUACGAAGAAAAGGAACAGGUUACAAUGGAAAAGGUUGAAUGAUCUUUUCUUUGUUUCAUACAACCGGAAGAAUAUGCAACGGUUUCAAAAGAGGCGUGAGAAGGUGAGCGAGAAUAGCUUUGAGGCUUUGGUCAUUGAGGAUUUUGAUUGGGGCAAUGAGUGGGUGGACCCAUCACUAUCACAACCUCAAGGUGCUCGAGGUUGUCCUGAAGACAAUCAAGACAUUACAUGGGAGGAUGUUGAUGUGGCUAUUGGUGCAUCUUCAAACCUUCGAGGCCGCAAUCUGCAUAGGACAGCAACUACAGUUCAUAGGGGCCAGACAAAUUUCCGUCUGCAACACUACGCACGCAAGAGACCUACUACAACACGACCUACAAAUCCUGAAGAAGAUGAAGCAUAGGAGGACUUGGAGCAAGAACCACACUCAAGUAUGCCCAAUGCGGAGGGGGAGGAUUCAGACUACGUUGAGGACGAUGAUGAUGUGAGCAAUGACGAUCAAGAUCCAAGUAAUGUUGACCAAGAUGAAUUCUGCUGGGGAGAAAAGCAAGUGCAAAGAGGAUGGGAAUGGAUGCUAUAUGGGCUCUACAACAAUCAGUUGCAAGGUGUGUAUGGUUGUAUGCCUAGUUGCUUAAUGCCUACCAAGUUCUACUUAAUUCUGUUGCUUACAAGUCUCUAAGGCGUCGCCUCGCCUUAUGCCUUAGCGCUUAGGCAGUGAGGCGCCCCCCAGCGCCUCGCCUCGCCUUAGCGCCUUAAAAACAUAGUUAUUAGGGCGAUCAGUGAAUGUAAUGGCCUAGUGCCAUACGACAGUGAAUGUAGUGUGAGCUUUUGUAACACUGAAUUAGCAAGUGACUGGAGGUUGUAUUGCAUUUGACAUCUUUUUGUAAGACCAACUAGCAGAAUAUGGCACUUGUAGCAUGGAAUUUGAGAUCAGGUUAUAAAUCAGUGAACUUUUGGUUGCAUUUGCAGCUAGUUAUAAUAAAAGCAUUCAGUUUGCAUUCAGUAGUAGUAUUAAGCAGCAGAAUAUAACAAAAGCACCCAGUACAGAUUUUGAAGUGCCAUUUUAGAAACACCUAACACACAAGUACUCCCUCUGUUCCAAAAUAGAUGGAGGGAGUACCAGGCAAAAUAGCAUCAGUUCACAGUGACACACAUAACCACCAGUACAUGACCAUACUGACUUAAGAAUUUAAACCAAAAGGACAUAACCACCAGUUCUGUUGUACUACUGACAUCUAAUUUAACAUACUCCCUCCGUCUGGAAAUACUUGUCAUCAAAAUGGAUGAAAAUGGAUGUAUCUAGAACUAAAAUACAUCUAGAUACAUCCAUUUCAAUGACAAGUAUUUCCGGACGGAGGGAGUACUAAUUAGACCAGAGAAGCAGUAGACAAUCAGGAAUAAUUCUUUGAUUUUUUCUUGGCUUGCACAUUCUUCCUGGUAGCCUUCCUCUUCCCUCCACUUGGUCCUGCUUCUGCUUGAUCUUUUCCUUUGCUCUUAGCCUGCUGGCUUGCUCUAAUUUGAGCAUCAGUGUUUGCUUGCUGGUGCAACAAAAGAAAGUACAUAAGCAUCUCAAAUAGUACAUAAACAAUUCAAACAAUACUCAAGUAAUUAGAAAGUGCACAAGUGUCUACCUCAGUUGACUUAAUUUUCUUCCCUGUUUUCUUCAAGAAGGCAUUUUUCUUCUGGCCCUUUUCAGGAUUCUUUUUGCAACCUGUCUUGUUGUGCCCUUUGUGGCCACACAUGUUGCAAGUAAUUUUAAUGCCAUGCUUUGACAUUUUCUUUCCUUUUGGUGCUUCUCCCUCUUCCCUCUUCGUGUCAUUCUUCCUAGGCCUACCUGGCAUACUCACAUAACCAGGUAAAUUGCUCAAUUGAAUAACAUUUGUGAAUGAAGUCUGAUACAUUUUUUCCGCACUUGUAUAUGGCACUGAUGGCAUGGCAACAAGGUAGCCCUGCCAGUUGAAAGUAUCCACAAGAACAAGUCCAUUUAUCCAAAUUCACAGUAUAACUCCUUCCUCUGCCACUAACAUGUUUUACUUCAAACCCUUCCUUACCAUUCCAGAGCACAUCACAGAACUGAGUUAAUUUGAUGGCCACCUUAAGUUUCUUGAAAAUGUUUGGGCAUAUCUCUGUAUUACUAGCAGUCCACUUGUCAGUUUUGGUUAUGUUCUCUUGAACUCUAAGUGUCAUCUUGUGCCUAAUCUUCUCUAGCAUAGAGAUGAUAGGAUAGAAUCUGGCCUCAAUUAUAGCAUUGUUGGAGGACUCACAUAGAUUAUUAUCCACUGAGUCACAUAGCGAUCCAACUGGAAAGAAUGCUCUAGCCCAAUGCUUAGGCUCUGUAUUCAUGAUUUCCCUUGCACCGUCAGGUGUAUCUUGAGCUAACUUGGCCUUCCUAUACAUGAAGUCUUCUCUGUUUGCAGCCUUGGCAAUUGCUCAGAAUUUCUUUUUCAGAGCAUGCUCUCUAAACUUCUUUUUCCAGUUAGCAUAUAUGUGUUUAGCACACAUUCUGUGUUGUGCCUUUGGUAGAUAGUCUUUCAUGGCACUUAACAACCCCUGCACAUUAAUUUAAUUAGUUGAAAGCAUGCUAUUUUCAGUACUUCAAACCAUAUUUUAAAUAGUUCAAAGCAUGCUAUUUUCAGUAUUUUAAAUCAUAUUUGAAUUACUUGAAAGCAUGCUAGUAAUAUAAUUUAACAUCAACAAGCUAAUAUACCUUCUGUUGAUCUAAAAUAAAAACCCAGCCUUCACCUUGAUCAUUAAUAUCCAAUAGCACAAAGAAGCUCACCAUGGCAUGCUCCUUUGAAAAAGCAACCAUCAAGUCCAAUCACCCUUCUACAUGCUUUAAAACCCCGCUUCAUAGCAUUGAAACACACAUAGAAGCUCUGGAAAAUAUUCUGAUCCAUAUUGGUAGGGUCCAAGCCAACAAGUAUUGUACUUCCAGGAUAGCUCCUCAAUAGUUCUAGCUGGUAAUCAAACACCUUGGUGUACUCCUCUUUCAUACCUGCUAGUAGUUUCUCUGAUACAAUCUUCUUGGCAGCCUUGCACUUGGAUGUUGACACAUCGGCAAAGAAAUCUUUCAGAACAGUAGCUUUAAUACUGUCAAUCUUCCAUGUGGGGUUAGCUCUUAAGAUGUGCUCAUACCUUCUUGCUAUAACCUUAGCAGUAACAAGGUGAUUGUAUCUGUUAGGUGCACUGCAUGUUCAGAUUCAAAUGUUAACACCUGGAACCUAGAACACCUGGUAGUCUUAGCACCAUAUAUAAGCCAUGGACAUCCAGGCCAUCCACACUUAGCCCUGAUCCUAUCUUCGACUGACUUCAUGAAGAUUAUACUCCGAAAUGUGAGCAGUCCAUAUUUUAUUAGUGCCUUUCUCAUGUGCUCCUUGCUCCUGAAAACCAUCCCUAAACAAAACAUUGGAAUAUCUGCCUUUGGAUUAUACCUGGGGUACUUGCUCUUCCUCUUGACAACAUGUCCAUCAUGAUCACUAUCUUCAUCAUAUGAAUAAUCUUCAUCAUCAGAAUCAAAGUGAUCUUCUCCUAUCACCUCUUCCACAUUUGCAACUAAAUAAAUUGGAACAACACCUGUUGGAUUUCUCUGUGCCCACUUCUUAGAAUCUCUUAUUCUCUUCUUAAAUGCCUUUGCUUCUUCCUUAAGUUCCACAUACUCUUCCUCUAGUCCACUGUCAUCACUACCUGGCACAUAAUCACUAUCAUCACUGCUUGAAUCACUAUCAUGUUCAGACUCACUGUUAUGUUCUUCUCUUCCAGGUACAGUUGGUUUUUGAACUGUUUCUUUAAUAAGUGCAAUUUUGCAAGUUUGUGACCGAGGAUUGAGCACUUGAGAGCUUCCUGUCAGAGCAUCAAUCAAUUGUCCACACUCAACUCUAAAAGUUUCUUUCAUUGUACUCCUUAAAGGGCUGGCAAUAACUGAAGUUAUAACUCCAGUGUCAUCUGGUACAACCACAUGUUCAUUUCUGUCAGCCAACCCAUUCACAUUUCCAACACUGAAUUGCACUUGUUCUUCGGCAGAAAUGAUAGCAUCAGGUGCUUCCUCACUGUCUCCCUCUUCCUCAUUUUGUAUCUCAUCUUCAAAAUCACUACCACUCCUAUCACUUUCCUCAUCCUGCUCUCCAAAGUACUCAACAUACACAUCAGCCACUCCACUAUCGGUUGUGUACUCUGACAUUUUCAUACAACCAGCAUCAUCAAGGAGAAACAUCAAGCCAUUUGACAAUUCUAAACCUGGAACCAAGAAAUAAAGCUUCAUGGAAUCUUUGUAUGUGAUAUGAUCAGCCAAAUGCCCUGUGAUUUCUGGUAAGGACAGUUUGUCCCUUUCUAUCUCUGAUAUCUCCUCAUCUCCUCCAACAUAAUCUAACUCAGGACCAACUCGGACAAAUUCCCCUCCAAAGUGAAAGCGAACAUUCAGUUUCUCACUCGGAUCCAUGCUUGCAGAAAGAAAACCUACAGUAAUACACAUAAAUUCAGUACGCCAUGUCUAAUACAAUUUUUGAGAAGAAAUAGAACCACACAGAAAUCUCACACCCAAAAUAAAAUUCUGGAAAAUAUCAUCCAACACCACAACCAUCUCUAUCUGAAACUCUAGCCAUAUCCAUCAAACGGCGGCAAAUGCAAACAAGAAAGCACAGGCAGGAGGCCGGCACAUUACCUCCGUCAACUCCGGUCGCCGCGAUUUUCUUGCCUUCCUGUCGAUCGGCCCCCGUUCACCAUCGCCGGCGUACCUUUUUUUUUAGAGACAACGCCGACGUACCUGAAACUGAAGAGACGAGCGAGAGACGGGGGAGAAUAGGAACAGAUCGGAGAGAGACAGGGGAAAAGGGGGAAGGCCCGACUUGGUGGUGGGUUUAAGAGGGGACGGUAUGGCCCAGAGAUCGGUCCAGAUUGUGAUGAUUUCCUCUCCAUAUCCCUGCCAAGUAAGCAAUCCCAUUCUCACAAACAAACAUCCAGCCGGGAUUAGCCAGGAUCAGAGAGCUCGGGGUGACAAUUUCAGGGAAUUCAAGUUCAGGGUCUGAUUCAGACUCGGAGUACGAAUUUAAGGUCUUUUUCAGACUUUUGCCACUUAGGAUUAACAAACAAGCCAAGCCGUUGAUCGGGGAAGAAAACAAGCACGCACGUAGGCGAAACUCCCGGCGGCCCAUAGUCCUACGCCAACGACCGCCGGUCCAGCUCCAGCACAUGCGGCCACCCAUGCAUGCCCGAAUUACACUCCCGUCCCCAUCGUGGUAAUACCGCCCUACAUUUUCCUUUGGCAAAUACGUAUUUGGUAAUUGCUCGUGUUUUCUAGCUAUC